CCUAAUAAUAGACAAUGGAUGCUAGGAAGUUUCUCAUAUGAUGAUAAACUUCAAUAGAAGGACGAUUCUAGUGAGACUAGUAAGUUGCCCUUCUCAAAGGGAACGUGCCCCUUUGACUCCCAAAGAAAUAAUGCGUAAAUAGAAUCCUUUAUGCAUAUGCAGAAAGGUGAUUUAUGUAUUUCAUAUUGUAUGAAAAAUAUUGAUAUGAGUUGUACCUAGAACGGUACAAGAUGAUAUCAGUGCAAGCCCAGGAUCA
rnacentral:lncRNA from 1 species